ACGGGGGCAUACCUUAGUACGGCGAGUGAAGCGGUAAAAGCUCAAAUUUGAAAUCUGGUACUUUCAGUGCCCGAGUUGUAAUUUGUAGAAUUUGUCUUUGAUUAGGUCCUUGUCUAUGUUCCUUGGAACAGGACGUCAUAGAGGGUGAGAAUCCCGUUUGGCGAGGAUACCUUUUCUUUGUAAGACUUUUUCGAAGAGUCGAGUUGUUUGGGAAUGCAGCUCAAAGUGGGUGGUAAAUUCCAUCUAAAGCUAAAUAUUGGCGAGAGACCGAUAGCGAACAAGUACAGUGAUGGAAAGAUGAAAAGAACUUUGAAAAGAGAGUGAAAAAGUACGUGAAAUUGUUGAAAGGGAAGGGCAUUUGAUCAGACAUGGUGUUUUUUGCAUGCACUCGCCUCUCGUGGGCUUGGGCCUCUCAAAAAUUUCACUGGGCCAACAUCAAUUCUGGCAGCAGGAUAAAUCAUUAAGAAUGUAGCUACUUCGGUAGUGUUAUAGCUUUUUGGAAUACUGUUAGCCGGGAUUGAGGACUGCGCUUCGGCAAGGAUGUUGGCAUAAUGGUUAAAUGCCGCCCGUCUUGAAMMMACGRAAMMAAAUAG
rnacentral:rRNA from 1 species